GUCCCGAACCCAAAUUCACCCGUUUACUAGUCAUUUGGACGGUAAACGACCUUUACUUUCACUUUUACUUUCGGUUUAGUACUUUUAGUGGCCCUAAAAAUUGACUUUUUGUUCGGGUCAAAAUUUGAGAAAAUGUUCUUCAUGAAAGUUGUAGGGGACGUUAAACCGAGCGCGUACAUAUGUGGUACGUAAAAAUCGGAGCUCGUAUGCAAAAGUUAUAAGCGAAAAUGUGAAAGUUACUGUUCACGGUAAGUAGUAUAUAUUUGAAUUUUUCACUGUGGCCGGUAAGUUUUCAUUUUCUUCUUCUCUCUCUCCUUUCUCCCGCAUUUUUUCUCUCUCCUCGGCACUCUCUGCAACUCCGGCCACCUCACGAUUCCGGCCACCUGGGGACGAACGAGUGGCACCGUUGGACUCCUCUACUCCUACCCAACCUCCCCACGGCGGUAACUCACGGCGGCUUGGCCGGAAAACGAAGCAUCGGGUCCUUGAAGUUUCACUGUAGCAAAUUGGUCAACGCCGGUUUCUCCCGAUUCCGGCCACCUCCGGCGACGAACCAUAAUCAUUUGGAAGCGCCUUGCGAUGUAGAUGAUGCUCCCCAAAUAUUUUGCAGCGAUUUGAAGCGUGGAGGAAGAAUUGAAGGGCAAUGUUGCGAGCUACGGCUAGAUGAAGGGACUCGUUUGCGUGGUCGCCAACUAGUACUUUUGCAGGCGCUAUUAGUUGAGGUCGGGCAUACAUGGUUCGAGGCAUAGUUGAUGAAUAGCUUCCGCACUUCUUUGUUUGGCUCUGAUCUAUCGUAGCUUACUGUUUUGGGUAGUCCAUUUUAGGGGUGACUCGACCAGUUCUCGGUAGGGUUAUCUCUAAGGUGGGCCCCGCAGGGCCACCUCGGAUUUCAGGAUGAAAUUCGGGGCGGGUCCUGUCAACUUGGUAUCAGAGCAUUAGGUUGUUAGGUUCUGUAGACUCGUUUCUAUUCUGUUACCUUAUAUGCUUGGUGUUGCCCAGUACCUCUCGAGUGAUGGCCCGACUGCAGCGGUUCCCCAUCGUGUACUCUUCGGUGCUGUGGUAUUCAUCAAGUGUGUAAGGUACAAAGCUAGUUGGUUUUCUUCUGGUGCUAUGCCUCUUGUACGCCGACCUCCUAGGGUUUUCUUUGCGUAUUCGAUUGGUUAACUGUUUUGUGCCUAUCCCUGGUGAUGGUGGAGUAAAACUACUCUAUAGUUUCGAGUUGUGUUGCGAAAUGUGAUUCGAGGAA